UUGUUUCAGUGUUUCAAUAUACCAUCCAAAUGUGGGAUAUUACUAGAUUUCGUGGUUGGAUAUUAAACUUCAAGUUUCUAGUAAUCCACUGGAUAGUGCUAUAAACAUUUUAAAUUUCAAGCCGGAAAGUAUUCAUUAUUUUAACACUCCAUUACCAGGUUGAGGAGGUCCAUAUCCAUUCUGCAUUAACUGAAUUAUCGCUUCUUUUGAACAUAUUUCUUUUGUAACUUUUUUGACCACGUUAUCAGGGUCAAGUAGAAAUGGCAUCACAGAAAGCUUGUGUACAGGUCGUCCUCGCUUCCUUUUGUUUGACUCACGAUUGGCCAUAUUACUGCCAGAAUGUAGCCUGCAGUCAAUAGUUGUCCACACAACCCUAAAAUACAGCGAAAAUAUUUCAUCAAUGAUUGCAUUGGUUUUACCCCGGCGAUUAUAGAAUGGGCAAUUUUAUCCACUGUAUAUCGUG
rnacentral:lncRNA from 1 species